GACGUAGGGUGCAAGCGUUGUCCGGAAUUAUUGGGCGUAAAGAGUUCGUAGGCGGUUUCUUAAGUCUGGUGUUAAAGCCCGAUGCUCAACGUCGGCAUGGCAUUGGAAACUGGGUAGCUAGAGUGUGUCAGAGGUUACGGGAAUUCCUGGUGUAGCGGUGAAAUGCGUAGAUAUCAGGAGGAACACCAGCGGCGAAGGCGCCGCUCUGGGCCGUAACUGACGCUGAGGAGCGAAAGCAUGGGUAGCAAACAGG
rnacentral:rRNA from 1 species